rnacentral:rRNA from 1 species
UCCUGUCACCAGGUAGCUGCCUUCUGUACCCCCCAUUGUAACACGUGUGUAGCCCCGGACGUAAGGGCCGUGCUGAUUUGACGUCAUCCCCACCUUCCUCACAUCUUACGACGGCAGUCUCUCCAGAGUCCUCAGCAUGACCUGUUAGUAACUGAAGAUAAGGGUUGCGCUCGUUAUGGCACUUAAGCCGACACCUCACGGCACGAGCUGACGACAACCAUGCAGCACCUUCACAAAUGCCUUGCGGCUAACCUGUUUCCAGAUUAUUCAUUUGCAAUUUAAGCCCGGGUAAGGUUCCUCGCGUAUCAUCGAAUUAAACCACAUGUUCCUCCGCUUGUGCGGGCCCCCGUCAAUUCCUUUGAGUUUCACCGUUGCCGGCGUACUCCCCAGGUGGAAUACUUAAUGCUUUCGCUUGGCCGCUUACUGUAUAUCGCAAACAGCGAGUAUUCAUCGUUUACUGUGUGGACUACCAGGGUAUCUAAUCCUGUUUGAUACCCACACUUUCGAGCAUCAGUGUCAGUUGCAGUCCAGUGAGCUGCCUUCGCAAUCGGAGUUCUUCGUGAUAUCUAAGCAUUUCACCGCUACACCACGAAUUCCGCCCACCUCUACUGUACUCAAGACAGCCAGUAUCAACUGCAAUUUUACGGUUGAGCCGCAAACUUUCACAACUGACUUAACUGUCCACCUACGCUCCCUUUAAACCCAAUAAAUCCGGAUAACGCUCGGAUCCUCCGUAUUACCGCGGCUGCUGGCACGGAGUUAGCCGAUCCUUAUUCAUAUGGUACAUACAAAAAUCCACACGUGGACCACUUUAUUCCCAUAUAAAAGAAGUUUACAACCCAUAGGGCAGUCAUCCUUCACGCUACUUGGCUGGUUCAGACUCCCGUCCAUUGACCAAUAUUCCUCACUGCUGCCUCCCGUAGGAGUUUGGACCGUGUCUCAGUUCCAAUGUGGGGGACCUUCCUCUCAGAACCCCUAUCCAUCGAAGGUUUGGUGAGCCGUUACCUCACCAACUGCCUAAUGGAACGCAUCCCCAUCGAUAACCGAAAUUCUUUAAUAAUUAAACCAUGCGGUUUUAUUAUACUAUCGGGUAUUAAUCUUUCUUUCGAAAGGCUAUCCCC